GACGAACGCUGGCGGCGUGCCUAAUACAUGCAAGUUGAGCGCUGAAGGUUGGUACUUGUACCAACUGGAUGAGCAGCGAACGGGUGAGUAACGCGUGGGGAAUCUGCCUUUGAGCGGGGGACAACAUUUGGAAACGAAUGCUAAUACCGCAUAAAAACUUUAAACACAAGUUUUAAGUUUGAAAGAUGCAAUUGCAUCACUCAAAGAUGAUCCCGCGUUGUAUUAGCUAGUUGGUGAGGUAAAGGCUCACCAAGGCGAUGAUACAUAGCCGACCUGAGAGGGUGAUCGGCCACACUGGGACUGAGACACGGCCCAAACUCAUACGGGAGGCAGCAGUAGGGAAUCUUCGGCAAUGGACGAAAGUCUGACCGAGCAACACCGCGUGAGUGAAGAAGGUUUUCGGAUCGUAAAACUCUGUUGGUAGAGAAGAACGUUGGUGAGAGUGGAAAGCUCAUCAAGUGACGGUAACUACCCAGAAAGGGACGGCUAACUACGUG
rnacentral:rRNA from 1 species